GACAGAGGAGCCAAGCGUUGUCCGGAUUGACUGGGCGUAAAGCGCACGCAGGCGGUCGUGCACGUGGGGUGUGAAAACUGGCGGCUUAGCUGCCAGAGGCCACCUCAUACGGCGCGACUCGAGCCCUGCAGAGGUCCAUGGAAUUGCCGGUGUAGUGGUGAAAUGCGUAGAGAUCGGCAGGAACACCGGUGGCGAAGGCGGGUCUCUGGGCCGUAACUGACGCUGAGGAGCGAAAGCAUGGGGAGCGAACAGG
rnacentral:rRNA from 1 species